ACACCUCAUCAUUCUGACUGCUCUCUUCAUCACAAAAAAGAUAUUUCGAUCAGAAAGGAAAAUCCAGUUAGCCAAUCUGACUUGAAAUUCUAGAGGAGGGGCAGCUAGAUAGUAUAGUGGAUAGAGCACCAGACCUAGAGUCAAGAGGAGCUGGGUUCAAAUCUGGUCUCAGACACAUCCUGGCUGUGUGAACCUGGGCAAGUCACUUAACCCCAAUUGCUUAUUUCUUAACCACUCUUCUGCCUUGGAAUCUAUACUUGUUACUAAUUCUAAGAUAGAAAGUAAGGGCUUAAAAAUAAAGUCAAGGGGAAAGAUGUUUAUUUGAGUGCCUCACCUAUAGAAGAUGGUUUUUGAUAUGAGACUUGAAGGAAAUGAAUGAUUCUAAGAAGUAGGUGUGAGGAAGAAUGGUAUUCGGUGGCUAACACACAGUAGAACUUUAUUGCUUUUUGAACUGAAUUGAUAGAAUCUAUAGAAAGUUGAUGGUCAUUUAAUUUUUUCCAGGACAGCAACAGUGGAGAAAAAAAUAGAAACAGUAUUGAAGGUUGGUUUGUGGUUGCAACUUUUCAAUUCCACGUUGUAGAAAUGCACAAAAGAUCAUGUAGACCUUGUGUUACUGUUACUGAAGAGGGGAAAAAAAAAAGGUCUUGAAAAAUCCCCUGCAGUAUUGAAACCUGCAGAAUAGCAAAUUUUCAUUUCCUUAGAAUUUAUCUGUCCAUUUCUCUCCUCUCAUAUUUGAAGUGAUGUUUUUUUGUGUGUAUUCUGUUUGCCCUUUGUAGUGAGGGAAGAGGAAAUGGAACAAUCAAGGACAGUCAGAUUAGCCUGACCUUUUGGCCCCAUGACUUAUUUGCCAUUUGGUGUCUAUUUGGAAAUGUUUGCUCUUGGAGAGAAGGCCCAUAAUCUUAAGGAAGGAAUGAAAGAAGUAAGUAAAGAAGGAAAAAGACAUCUCAAUCAAUAACUGAGACAACUCCAUCCUGAGCCUGAUUCAAUGAUUGGUAAGUCUUUAUCUGAUUCUCCAUAUCAUUAGAAGGCCCAGUCACACUGCUUUCAGUCUAC
rnacentral:lncRNA from 1 species